rnacentral:rRNA from 1 species
UACGAAGGACCCAAGCGUUAUCCGGAUUUAUUGGGUUUAAAGGGUGCGCAGGCGGUCUCGUAAGCUGGGUGUGAAAGCCCCGGGCUUAACCUGGGAAUGGCAUUCAGGACUGCGAGGCUUUGAGUGCGGCAGAGGGAGGUGGAAUUCCACGUGUAGCAGUGAAAUGCGUAGAGAUGUGGAGGAACACCGAUGGCGAAGGCAGCCUCCUGGGCCAGCACUGACGCUCAUGCACGAAAGCGUGGGGAGCAAACAGG